rnacentral:rRNA from 1 species
AGUGCCAGGUUGCAAAUCUGGCUGUCGUGAUGCCUAAAAAGCAUUGCAUAGCAAGGGCCGGGCAAGACCGGUGCCAGCCGCCGCGGUAACACCGGCGGCUCGAGUGGUAACCGUUAUUAUUGGGUCUAAAGGGUCUGUAGCCGGCCGGAUAAGUCUCUUGGGAAAUCUGGCAGCUUAACUGUCAGGCUUUCAGGAGAUACUGUCUGGCUCGAGGCCGGGAGAGGUGAGAGGUACUUCAGGGGUAGGGGUGAAAUCUUGUAAUCCUUGAAGGACCACCAGUGGCGAAGGCGUCUCACCAGAACGGACCUGACGGCAAGGGACGAAAGCUAGGGGCACGAACCGGAUUAGAUACCCGGGUAGUCCUAGCCGUAAACGAUACUCGCUAGGUGUCGGCCACGGUGCGACCGUGGUCGGUGCCGUAGGGAAGCCGUGAAGCGAGCCACCUGGGAAGUACGGCCGCAAGGCUGAAACUUAAAGGAAUUGGCGGGGGAGCAC